rnacentral:rRNA from 1 species
UACGUAGGGUGCGAGCGUUAAUCGGAAUUACUGGGGCGUAAAGCGUGCGCAGGCGGUUUUGUAAGUCUGUCGUGAAAUCCCCGGGCUCAACCUGGGAAUUGCGAUGGAGACUGCAAGGCUAGAAUCUGGCAGAGGGGGGUAGAAUUCCACGUGUAGCAGUGAAAUGCGUAGAGAUGUGGAGGAACACCGAUGGCGAAGGGCAGCCCCCUGGGUCAAGAUUGACGCUCAUGCACGAAAGCGUGGGGAGCAAACAGG